CACUCUAGAGAGACUGCCAGGGAUAACCUGGAGGAAGGUGGGGAUGACGUCAAAUCAUCAUGCCCCUUAUGCUUAGGGCUACACACGUGCUACAAUGGGUAGUACAGAGGGUUGCCAAGCCGUAAGGUGGAGCUAAUCCCUUAAAGCUACUCUCAGUUCGGAUUGUAGGCUGAAACUCGCCUACAUGAAGCUGGAGUUACUAGUAAUCGCAGAUCAGAAUGCUGCGGUGAAUGCGUUCCCGGGUCUUGUACACACCGCCCGUCACACCGCGGGAGUUGGAGACGCCCGAAGCCGAUUAUCUAACCUUUUGGAAGAAGUCGUCGAAGGUGGAAUCAAUAACUGGGGUGAAGUCGUAACAAGGUAGCCGUAUCGGAAGGUGCGGCUGGAUCACCUCCU
rnacentral:rRNA from 1 species